CGUCGGCACAUUACACAAAAAGAUGUUAAAUGUGACGUUGAUUUCGUGGUUCUCGCAUAAAAACAAGCAGGAUGCCAAAGGAUAUAAUCUAAAUUAUCAGAAAACCCCGUUAACGUAUUACUUUGCAUUACUACAACUGCGACAACACAUUUCAAAUUUUGGCAUUUACUUAUCAGAGGUUGCCGUGUCUCUUACACACGUUACAUACAAAAAAAGAAUUAAUGCGAUUACUUGAAAUUGUUUAUAAUUAGUGUAGUCAUUUAUAAAUAAAUUUAAAUAACAGGGGCUGCAUAACUUUUUAUUUGAGUCAUUCUAAUUUCUAAGAGAACCAAAUUUCGACAACAGAGCCAGCAGACGUGAGGCGCGAUAAUGGCAUAGAAUGGUAAACACGUUUUCCUUUGGCUGCCUGAUACUUUCUUAAUCAAAUCUAAUUGCAGUGAGAUAAAUGAUAAACAAGGUGGUGUAUUCAAAUCCGAGUAGCUGUAUAAACAUCACCGGAUUCAUUGUCUGACUUGUGUGUGUAGGUAUUUGGGGAGGGGCAACUUGCCACUGUGUUGUACAGUAUCGUCUAUCGUGGAAGUACAGAUGUUGUUCAUUGUUUUUCCAAAAAGCUGCCGUUUGCCGAACGAAUUGGUGCACUCCAACAUUUGUCCUUAUACCCAUGACUGUUAAGUAGGGCUCCCAUUUCCUCCCGUUUCCUGCCAACGUUUGAUUACUCGAUAACCAUCGAUGGAGCGUUGGAUCAUCCCAUGAAAGACUUAUCCGCUCGUCACCACUAGAGUACCAAUUAUCCAAGCAUCAAUCCGAGCAUUCAACCUGUUGCAAAGAAAUGGAUAAUCUUUUUAUCCCAUCCGAAUUGCGGAUUACCUCUACUUACAGCAAAAUGAGGAAGAUAAGAACGUCUCGCCUUUGAUGGAUUGAGUGCAAACUCGAUGGCAGCCAAAGGGGAGGCCCAUUCCUGCUCGGUGGGAGAAGCCACCCCAGUGAAAACUACUCGUCCUCCUCGACGAUUCUGGUACUUGAUGAGCUUCCGAACAUGGCCACUUUCUUCUUCAGCUGACUCUUGAAAGUAUUUGGAGAAGCCGUUCAUGGCUACAUCAUCGCGAUCGUAAAAGGCGCUCUAAAUUCAAACGUUGGAAAAGGGAAAACCCUGUGACAGUAGAUCCGGGAAGAGGAGUUCCUCCGCUUGCCUUAUUACUUCAUGGGAAAAUCCUUUGCAGAUUUUGUGCAGUUCUAUACUCCAGCCGCGUGACUAUUCGUCAUUUUAUUUUUCCAACUGACUGGCAGUGCUUUCCCCCGAGAGAACACAUGUCUGUCCUACCUCAUAAUAGUAGGUUUUCAGGUGAGAUUCCUUAUUUGACUUCCUGGACAUGUCUUGUCGCUUAAAAUGGAUGGAGUUUCUCCUAUCCACACCGCUUCCGCCGCUGGAUCACUUGGCGAUCGAAAUUUGUUCGACAGUUGGGAAAUGGACGUUUGAAAGUUCCCGCCAGGAUUAUACUCAAAAGAUUAUGAUGGGUUAUGAAAUGGAUCAUCUCGUCAAACAACCUCCGCCUCCAACCAUGGCAUAACCUAAGCCCAGUCUAAUCCCAUAAUCCUCCGACGCCACAUUUUGAAAGAGAUGGAUAAUCCAUUUGCGGAUGUGGCGGCAGGAAGUGUUUGACAGGAUUUCUUCAGCUACUCCGACCAAUGAGGAAGAAGGUCACUUUCACGAAACUAAAACGGUUGGAAAAAACUGAAACCCAAACAUCCACACCCACACAACAACAACAACUACUACUACUACUCCGUUCUCUGUCGUCUGGACAUCUCGCUACUUCCCAAAAGAUUACUAUCCAGUGGGUCCCGCUUUGAAAUCAUCUUCCGGAUCGGGUCGUCAGUGCCACUUUUACGACGAAAUCCAGCUGGCGCUACUGGAUGCGGAGUUUAUCAAUGAUUCGUUUCCUAAUCGAGAAAGUCGUCGUCGCAUCGCCCAGUUGAUUGGCGUCUCUGAAAUUCAAUUAUGUGGUGGUUUCAGAAUCGCCGUCGACGUGCUCGUCAAAUUGGAUCAAGAGCCGCAACUUCAACUUUAGAAACAAAUCGCCAACAUUCUCGAUCAUCGCCUUACGCCUUUCGUCAACGCCAACACUGUGUGACGGUUGCCCUUGGCAACACUGGAUCAGACGCUAGCGAUCGGCCUUUUUGUGACGGACGAUAGAUAUUUGCUGGAGCAGUUGAAAACCGAGUGCGAAAAUUUUAUGGUUCGUCGAAUGUCUGCUGCAAAUUGUGUCGAAUUGUUUUUACUCCCUGAUAACCAUCCGGUUGAGCAUUUGAAAACGUUGGCGGUCCAUCAUUUCCGGCGUUUCUCGGCCCAAGUCUUGGCAACUGAUGACUGGAUAUAGCAGCGUAACAAAUCAAUU